rnacentral:rRNA from 1 species
UACGUAGGUGGCAAGCGUUGUCCGGAUUUACUGGGCGUAAAGGAUGCGCAGGCGGACAUUUAAGUCAGAUGUGAAAUACCCGAGCUUAACUUGGGUGCUGCAUUUGAAACUGGGUGUCUAGAGUGCAGGAGAGGUAAGUGGAAUUCCUAGUGUAGCGGUGAAAUGCGUAGAGAUUAGGAAGAACACCAGUGGCGAAGGCGACUUACUGGACUGUAACUGACGCUGAGGCAUGAAAGCGUGGGGAGCAAACAGG